UUGGAAAGAUCAGAGAAUUUGAAAAUUAUUACAUAUUCCUCCACCCAUCUGUUCAGGAGGUCUGUGCUGCCAUCUUUUAUCUGCUAAAGAGCCAUGUGGACCACCCUAGCCAGGAUGUUAAAAGUAUAGAGACUGUCUUGUUUAUGUUUUUAAAGAAAGUAAAAACACAAUGGAUAUUUUUGGGCUGUUUCAUCUUUGGUCUUUUACAGAAAUCAGAACAAGAAAAGCUUGUGGUGUUUUUUGGCCGCAGGUUAUCUCAGAAAAUACAGCAUAAGUUAUAUCAGUGUCUGGAAACCAUAAGUGGCAAUGCAGAGCUUCAAGAACAAAUAGAUGGCAUGAAAUUGUUUUGCUGUCUGUCUGAGAUAGAAGAUGAAGCCUUCCUAGUGAAAGUAAUGAAUUGUAUGCAACAGAUUAACUUUGUGGCUAAGAAUUAUUCUGAUUUAAUUCUUGCUGCCUAUUGCUUGAAACACUGUUCUACACUGAAGAAACUAUCCUUUUCAACCCAAAAUGUCCUGAAUGAAAAAGGAAACCAGAGAUGUAUGGCAAAUAAUGUGCACUUCUUUGGUGAUAACCACGCAUUCUUUGAAUUGAUUCAGAACUGCAGUUUGCAAUAUUUGGACCUUGGCUGCUCAUUUCUGACUCACAGUGAGGUGAA
rnacentral:lncRNA from 1 species